GCGAGGUUGCCAUUGUUGAUGAUUGCAGAUAUCUGGUUUUCAUGAUACAGAGAGACAAGCUGAUCAGUGCAUAUCUGAUAUUAGGAGGAGGCAGCCGUACAGUGGAGAAUGGCUUAUCUGGUUUAGAAGCCAUCAAGCACCCCCUCUUGCAACUGCGUAAGCCUCUAGGGGCAAGUAAGUCUAAUUCUGAUUAUGUUAGAUUAAAUCCACCUCAGCUUAUGGAUCUAGGAGUCACAUAAAAGUAUUUCCGUGUCCCAUCAAUACUAAACAGCGCUUCGCUUUCAAUCAUGAUUGCUAUUUCUUGACUUUUAGUUUUAUGUGUGUCAUAGCGCUCAAGGAUAUUUCUCAAACUGUACACAAAGGAACAUUGCGCAACUCAGAAAUCCUCAAACUGGGCAUAAAGGAACAUAGUACAACUGAUAAAGCAUGCAAGGAACCUACAAGUAUUUUGAAGCAAAUACCAACAGAGAAUCAAUAAAACAAUUGAAGCUACAAGUGAACUUUAGCCAGCAUAAAAAUCCCUGACAAUCCAUAUGACAGGUAUUUUCCCAUUUCUUCCAUCUUCUAAAAUUUACAGUGGAUAAUGGUUGUAAGGUUCACUUCUAUGAGCCCUUGUUAGUGUGUGUUGUGGUUGUCAUUUUUCAUUUAUGCUGAUUGUAUUCACUUAUUUUCUUUUUGUAUCUUGAAAGCAUUCUAAGGUUAAGGCUUUCAUUUAGACUGGUAGCCAACAUGAAAGGUCAAUAAUAACCAACUCUUCUACGGAAGGCCUUGUAUCAUCGAACAUUAAUGUACAUGUCAUAUGUAGUUUUAGGGAGAGACAGUUUCUAGCCUCCUGCUGUCAUACAGUAGUGGGACACAUGCUGAACAUUCUUUGCUUUUUAGUCAAGAGGCAUGACUGAUCUUAAAUAGAGGAUAUAUUGUCAGUUCCAAGGGUUUUGGACAAAAUGAAGAAAUGAAACAUUGAAAGUAUGCGAUGUGGGACAUGAUUUUGAUUUUUGCUAGUGUGACUUGAGGAUUUAUCAUGAUGAAAAUCAUGAAGGAAUUUCCUUUUUUGGAGGAUACCCCGUCCUCUGUAUUUUCUUCAUUUUCUCUUUCGUUGAUAGAUUUUUAUUUGAACUUGAAAAAAAGAAGAUAAAAAGGCUAGUAGUAUUAGGGUGCAAUAAUAAUCAUGAUAGUCAAAAGUUAGAAGAUAGAUUUAUGACACUCAGCUAUCUUGUUAGGAUUUACCUGUCAAGUAAGAUCAUUAGGAAGAACAAUAUGCCAAGCAAAAAUUAAGUUUUUUGGCCCUUACUCUUAAGAGUUUAUUAUAUUUAUUCUAACACCAAAAGAUAACAGCUAUUACUGAGAUGAAACUAUAUGAAUUUUCUCCAACUAUACAUGAUAGCUUAGGUUCUCCACAGAAACUUUGCAAUAGGUAACUAUGCUUUUAUUAUUUAUGGCCGAGGUGAGUUCAAACGGGUUCUUUUCCUUCUUUUUUUUGUGUAUUGCAAUAAUUAACUACGCUUUUAUCAACAGUAUGUAACUAUUGUAUUUCUAUUGAUAGUAUUAUUCGAUUUAGAAAUAUAGAAAAGGAAAAAGAAGAUUGAAGGAAAAAGGAAGAUAAUGAGAAUGCUUCUCUGCUGUUCU